GGGGAAUAUUGGACAAUGGGGGCAACCCUGAUCCAGCCAUGCCGCGUGAGUGAUGAAGGCCUUCGGGUUGUAAAGCUCUUUUGGCGGGGACGAUGAUGACGGUACCCGCAGAAUAAGCCCCGGCUAACUUCGUGCCAGCAGCCGCGGUAAGACGAAGGGGGCAAGCGUUGUUCGGAAUUACUGGGCGUAAAGGGCGCGUAGGCGGUUUGCUUAGUCAGGCGUGAAAGCCCUGGGCUUAACCUGGGAUGUGCGCUUGAUACUGGCAGGCUUGAGUGUGGGAGAGGUUGGUGGAAUUCCCAGUGUAGAGGUGAAAUUCGUAGAUAUUGGGAAGAACACCGGUGGCGAAGGCGGCCAACUGAACCACAACUGACGCUGAGGCGCGAAAGCGUGGGGAGCAAACA
rnacentral:rRNA from 1 species